rnacentral:rRNA from 1 species
CAGUAGCCGCGGUAACACGUAGGUGGCGAGCGUUGUCCGGAAUUAUUGGGCGUAAAGCGCGCGCAGGCGGAUCAGUUAGUCUGUCUUAAAAGUUCGGGGCUUAACCCCGUGAUGGGAUGGAAACUGCUGAUCUAGGGUAUCGGAGAGGAAAGUGGAAUUCCUAGUGUAGCGGUGAAAUGCGUAGAUAUUAGGAAGAACACCAGUGGCGAAGGCGACUUUCUGGACGAAAACUGACGCUGAGGCGCGAAAGCCAGGGGAGCGAACGGGAUUAGAUACCCGCGUAGUCCCUGUCUCUUAUACA